UGACAUUAUUAUCCAGAAUGGUGUAACAUGUCCAUUUGGCACAUAUCCACACAUGAACCAUUUUAUGUUGAUAUCAAGUCAUCUUUUAUUAAAAUUCCCAUCUUUAAUAUCUGAACACAUUCUGGAGUGGGAAAUUCAUUGAGUCCACUGGAUGGUGUAAGAAUUAAUCUACUGGUUCUGUCGAUCACCUGUUCAGGAGUCCAUCUCAGCUGGAAGACUGGUUCACCUACAGACAUACUAGGAUUGGAGAGAAAUGAUUACUCCCUUAGUGUAAUCAUGCAUGUUUCCUUCAGAUGCCCCUCUGUUGGUGCAGACUUGCAGAGCUUCC
rnacentral:lncRNA from 1 species